AUGUCUGGUGCCUCGCGAAGGAUGCUCUUCCCCCGGGGCUGUCGAGGCGGACCCCCCGCAGACAGCUCCGCGCGCCGAGACCCGCGCCCGGCUGCAGGGGCCCCCCGCCUCCGCGCCCCGCCCGCCGCCCGCCGCCCGCCGCCUCACCUAUCAGAUUUCCCGUGCGCCUCGCCGCGCCCCUCCUCCCGCCUCCUCAAUGCCGAGCGGAGGGGCAGCCGCCCUCGGCCUGGACCCGGCGCCGGCGACGACCGGCCGCGCGCCUCCCCGUGUCGCCGCGAUGCGGCUGUGAGCGCACUGCGGCUGCAGCCCGCCGGGCCGGGGGGGCGCGGGGAGCGCGGGCAGCGCGGGGCGCACGUUUCUAAUGAAAUAUUCCAAAUCAACCUCAAGGCCAAACAUGUUCCAUCUGGAGAUGGAGCCAGGGAUGGAGACAUAUCAACCCAUCCAGGGAUAUUUCCCCGGCGUUCACUGAGUAUCACCGGGACCCAUGUGAGAACUUGUAACUCACUGCUGGGAAUAUAUUUUUCUCUAGACUGGCUUCUUCAUUUGUCUUUCCCACAUUUCCUUCCCUUUGCUGUCCUUUCUUUUCUGUGGUGUUAUGCCUGUUUGCUGUUUCUCUUUACAUCAAUUAUAUUUAAGAAGGGCAGGUUCUGCUCUACCUUCAGAUAUAAUGUGAAUGAAUUAUCCUUGGUUGCUUUUCUCCUUAUGUGAGAAUUAUUUCUUUUCUGCUUGGAGAUUUAAUUUGUGUUCUGGAUAUCAUGUUUUAUCUGCUUUGCUGUUGCCUGAGGAUACAAAGGAGGCGGAGCUGGAAUUGUGGCUAAUUGUGAUUGCUGGGUUUAGAUUCUCUUUGUGCAUCCUGUAAUUGUAUGAAGAGUUGCUUUCAGGGUACGCUUGGGUUUUAGAUUGCCUCCAAAUUCAGAAUGUAGCUUGAAAGCAUUAAAUUUUUUUUCAAAUUAUGAAGUAUUUCAAACAUACAACUGAGUUAGGAUUUAAAAUAUAUUAGGUGUGUAAUUCAAGAAGUUAGACAAAAGACAAAGUUAACCUUUAAAAGGCUAGGAAAGG
rnacentral:lncRNA from 1 species